rnacentral:piRNA from 1 species
UAGGAUAAGUAUAUGCUGUGAUGGUCCC